rnacentral:rRNA from 1 species
UACGUAGGGGGCGAGCGUUGUCCGGAAUCAUUGGGCGUAAAGCGCGUGUAGGCGGCCCGGUAAGUCCGCUGUGAAAGUCCAGGGCUCAACCCUGGGAUGCCGGUGGAUACUGUCGGGCUCGAGUCCGGAAGAGGCGAGUGGAAUCCUGGUGUAGCGGUGGAAUGCGCAGAUAUCAGGAGGAACACCAAUAGCGAAGGCAGCUCGCUGGGACGGUAUUGACGCUAAGGCGCGAAAGCGUGGGGAGCAAACAGG